UGGGGAAUAUUGCACAAUGGGCGAAAGCCUGAUGCAGCGACGCCGCGUGAGGGAUGACGGCCUUCGGGUUGUAAACCUCUUUCAGUAGGGACGAAGCGCAAGUGACGGUACCUGCAGAAGAGGCACCGGCUAACUACGUGCCAGCAGCCGCGGUAAUACGUAGGGUGCGAGCGUUGUCCGGAAUUACUGGGCGUAAAGAGCUCGUAGGCGGUUUGUCACGUCGUCUGUGAAAUCCUAGGGCUUAACCCUGGACGUGCAGGCGAUACGGGCUGACUUGAGUACUACAGGGGAGACUGGAAUUUCUGGUGUAGCGGUGGAAUGCACAGAUAUCAGGAAGAACACCGAUGGCGAAGGCAGGUCUCUGGGUAGUAACUGACGCUGAGGAGCGAAAGCAUGGGUAGCGAACAGG
rnacentral:rRNA from 1 species